CGACCACGUUGUGCCCUGUACCCACCGGCAGUGCCCAACAUUUUCCGGCUGUGUUCCAUCCCUCCCCAGCCCUCAGGACCUGCUAACUCUUCCAGCCUGGAAAAUCACCGCACUUUGAUGAAAGGCGAACAGAGUGGAGAAUGGGCUGCCACCCGGCUGUCUGUCAAGAAGAUCAUGGGAGACAGGAGUGCCCAGCAGUGAAGCUGGCCAGGGUCCCCAGCACUUGCUGUGAAUGAGGAGCCCCAGCGGGCCCAGGGACCUACCCAGACUUCCUGGCUGCAAGCUGGAGGCCUCUGGUCUGAGUCCCAGCCACCUGCCCAGGCCCGAGUGGAAGUGGGCCUCUCUGGAAAGAUGUGGUUCCCAGGGCUCAGGACCCCCAGGUGGGAGAGGUGUAUCUGACUGGACACCAGCACUGAAGAAGCCUCUGGAUGACAGCUGGGAGAGGCUGGCAAGCUUGGCCUUGGCCACAGGGGUGGUCAGCUGUCUGGGAGCAGCUCCUUGGUGCUGGAAUGGAGAGGUCACCUUUUAUGUGAAAUCAGGGCAGACAUCCUGCCCAGCAAAUACGAUGUAGAGAAGGAGGAUGGAAAUCACUGAAGAGCAGGACAGGAAAAUCCUGCGAUGCUUUACUCGAAUGCCGAACAUCGCAUUUACCUCAUUUGGGUUUAAACAGAAGAAAUUGCUGAAUUUCGGGGAAAUAUUUUAUCACUACAAAGGAGACUGGCUCUGAAAGGAUCUCCCUAGACUGAGAGACACGGACAUGAGAGCACACGGGGAUGGCGGUCCUGCGUCUGCUGCCGCGGCGGAGGCCUGCUGAGCCCUCGUGGAUGCGGGGCCGGGCACCCUCCCCAGCUUUUGCCUCGCUCUGCUUCCUGAGUGUGCAGCUCCAGGAGUCCUGACUGGGACACCUUCCCCGAAGCCGAACAGUCAGACAAGUGCGUCCGACGCUACCACCUGAACCACUGGGUGACCACUGUGCAGACGGAGGCGACCAUCCCCAGGUCCUGCCCCUGAGUGCCCCUUGUUCUCCUCCCCGCUGCGCCCCUACCCAAGGAUACCAGAGUGCUGUUUGCCCCACUUGUCCCCCGGGCUUUGGUCUUCCUGAAAGGGGAGCCUCCCGUGAGAGCUUCCUGGUGUCUGCUUGCUCAGUGCAGCACGAGGUCUGGGAGGGGGCUACUGUGUCGUCCGUGCCAUUCCAGGGGGUGAAUGGCCCCCCAUUUAUUCACCCGAGUUCCUGCUGAUGGCGUGGCCUCUGGCUUUGGCGUUUGUGUUGCUCUGAGCGUCCUGGUAGGUGUUCUGGGACACACACGUGCUCCUUCCUGUGGGUAAAUCUUAGGUGUGUGUCUGCGUACGUGCCCCUUGCACAGACACUGCCAAGCACGUUUCCGAAGCGGGUGUGCCAGCUUUCACCUCCACCAGCAAAUGUGGAGCUCCAGCUCAUUUGCACUCUCGCCAGUAACUGGAAGGCUUCAUGUGUUCCGUGUUGACCCUUCUGUGGGUUUGGGGUGUGACACUGGGAUUUUAAUCUGCGUUUCCAUGCUGGUUUGUGAAGCGGGCACCUUUAUAUGUUUACUGAUCUCCGGACGCUCCCGCUUUGUGACGUUCAAGUCUGUUUGCCCAUUUUCCUGUGGAGUUGUCUAUCUUUUGUUGAUUUGUAGGAGUUCUUUAUAUAUUUAUACAUUCUGGACACAAGCCUUUGAUGCUUUGCUGCACGUUUGUAUUGCAAACGCCCCCACCCGCCCUUUCAGCUCUGGCUGUGACGUCCGUAGUUUUUGCCUGUGUUUCAGACUCCACACGGUGUUACGAGCACUGUUGUGCACUAUCUUUGCUUGAAUUUGUCCACAAAUGUCAUCCUUUCAGGACUUCAUGUUUUCCUACAGUUUCACGUCUACACCAGGGAUCAUUUUCCUUUAGUGUUUCCUCCUGUUUUCCUCUUAGUGCAGGGCCAGGGAAGAUGGGUUCUCUGUGUUUGUUUCCCUUUCUGCUUGGAACGGUGUUUUGGCUGACCUUUGCAUGUCUAGUGAUUUGGGGUUGCGUCCUGCACAUCUUCACGGGAAUGGUGUGGGGGCUUGGUGUUCUGUUGUGUUCUCUUGCAGAGCAUUCAUUUUUGUUUUGUUUUAUUGAGCGGUUAACUGAACUGGACUCAGAGUGUAAACACUGUCUCCUCUGUGUAAAAUCUCUGUGCUGUUAACGGGGCUGCUUGCUAUCUGUCCCGUGCAGACUUAGCGCACAGACCAGCCAGGGGUUUGAGCAGAAUUCCUCAGGGAGCAUUCGGGGCUCCCUUUCUGGGGUCGUCCCUCACUUUCCAGCUGCUGUGGUCACCCCCAACUCCAGCCUCUGAGUUUUAGGCCAGCAAGCCUGUGGGUUCCAUCAGGGUUUUGGCCCGCCCUCAGACACAGAGGCACAAGGUGGGACACUUACCCGCGAGUCCUGCGUGCUGGGCAUCCAUGUCCUAUAGCCUCUGUCUGGCUGUGGCUGUUGUCCAUGCUGUUGGACAUUUGUCUUUAUGUCCAGCAGUUGUGGAUGUUUCUGCUCCAGAACUGGUCCCACUGGAGCCACUUGGCCAUUGCUGGGAGUAGCCCUUGGGCAGUUAGGAUGGAGGAGGUCCCACAGCCGAGUGAGGAUGGACCGGAGCAGGAUGGGGCGUCAUUCAGUGACACUCAGUCUUGCUCUGGCUAGCCUUGGUUCAGGCACUGGUCUCAUCGGAGAUUUAACCAGGAGCCUGGCGGGGCCCAGCCUCCUGCUGGGUACCGCACCAGGAUUUCACAAGUGUUUUGGGGUGGGAGGGACCAAUGGAGCGUCCGAGGACGCUGAAGCCUCCAGUUUUGUCACCGUUGCCCUUGUGGCUGUGGGAAGCUCCUCUGGGUUCUCCUUCUGUCACUGUGGCUCCCCAUGUGGGCCCGGCCCAGUCCUCAGCCCCCUGCCCGGAACCGACAAAGGCUCUCAGCAGCAGGAUGACCGCGAUCGUUGGCUGUGUGGGCUCUCCCCUCGCGGGGCCAGGUCUCCACAGCCCUGCAGCUCUCGGAGACUUAGCUGAGAGGCUGUAGUGUGUGCGGCCCCUCUCGGUCGCCAGCAGGAGUGACGCCUUCCACAGGGGCCCACCCCUUCCUGCCCCUCCAAGCCCAGCACCGCCAGCCUUCCCGGGGAAUAAAGAUCCAAUGAGAGGCAAGACCAGAAAGUCUGUUGAAAUCACUGCUUUCCACGUGGCAUUUAAAAAAAAAAUCCCAAACUUUGAAACAUGCGUGCCUUUUGCCCCAGUGAUACCGAUCCCGGGACUUAUCUCAUGACGGUGAUCUGGAAUGUGCACAGAGUUCGAGCUCCAGGACGCGGGUGGCAGUGCUGUUUACACGCUGAAAGGAAAACCCUGGAAACAGGGAGAACAUUUGGUUUAUGCAAACAGUAUGAAGUCACAGAGUCACUGAAAAUACUGGUUAGAAUUGGUGGAAACAGGUGUUCUGUGGGUGAUGGAAGUUAGCAAAGCCCGCAGCAGCGGUGUUGACGGCGUCCCUGUGUGCACACCGCACGCCGGUACGCAUUGUGUUCUCGUUGUCCGUACUUCCUGACUUUCUGAAAGAACGACUGUUUUGUUGGGCUGUGUUUUUGGGGUAAAAUGAUGUGCAGUGAGGUCCGUAUGCUUACGGCGGACAGGCCCGCACCACCCACGUGCAGAACAAGAUGGGGAGAAUUUCCGCAUCUUCACGAAGCUCCUCCAUGCCCCUUUCCGGUCUCCAGUGUGUUGUGGGUAACAAAUGAAUCAGAGGAACGUGUUUCGAGGCUUGAGGACAGACGCGGGGUUCUGAGAGGCAUGCCCAGUUCCCUCAGCCGCGGCGGGGGGGAGCAGGUGGGCGGCGAAUCCGUGCCCGGCUGCAGGUGCUCUGCAGAGGCCGAAGGGGAGCCAGGGCGGGGGCGCUCGCCCACCCGAGGUGCCAUUCCUCCAGCUCCCUGUCACCUCAGGGUCACCUGGCCAAGGGCACAGAAGGCCUUUACACUGGGAUUUCACCUGCCCCGUGCAUGGGUGGAAGGGAGAAGGGGCUGCACUCCAGGGUGGGACACACGGUGUCAGCCAUUCUCAGGACCUGGCUGGGGCCUCAGCGGCUGUGGGGUAACAUGUCUCACCAGCGUCAUGGGCAGUGGCAGGUGAGGGUGGGGCUAAGUGCUGCAGGCCCGAGAGAGGAGCUCAGUGUGGGGCUCUGGAGCCGCUGGUGGCCUCGGUCAGCCCGGCUGCUCGAACACAGCACCAUAGGCCGGGGCUUAGAUGUUCAUUUCUGGGGCUCAAUUUCAAGAUUGAGGUGCCGCACGGUCAGGUUCUGGGGAGGAGGAGGCCCUCCCUGGCUUGCAGAGGCCACCUCCUUGCUGUGUCCUCCCACAGUAACAGAGCUCUGGACCGUCUCUUCUCAUAAGGGCACCAGCCCCAAGGAUCAGGACCUCAUGACCUCUCUUAACCUUUAUCACCACCCCCCUUCACCCCCCUCCUGGCCUGUCCCCACUUCCAGCCACACUGGAAUUGGGACUUCAACAGGUGAGUGUGGGGGGACACGAGGCAGCCCCCAACAGACAGCUAGCACAUGGGGGCCUGCAGACAGGAUGGUGGUGCUCCGGGUCCUGAAGGGGCCGCUUCCUGCGGGGAUUCCCCCCCCUUGUCCCUCCUCUACAGGUGGGCCCAGGUCUGCCCCUCCCUGGGUUCUGGCUCAGUCUCCAGGAACGCCUUGGUUUCUCUCUUCCACAGCUGCAUCCUCGGCGGGGAGGAUGCCCAGGCCUGGGGUGUGGGGUUGGGGGGACACGGAGACUGCGGGAUGAUUACUUCUCUGGUCAAAGAGAAAUUCAGACUUUCUGUGAAGCACCCUGGGCUCUUGUUUAUUUAUUGAGGCUGGUGAAUAAUGUGGCCUUAAGCUGCAGUCUCCCUCCUUGCCCUGGAUUCCUUUUCUUUCCCCUUAAAAAUGCCUCAAGAGGGGCGCCUGGGGGCUCAGUCAGUCGAGCGUCUGCCUUCGGCUCAGGUCAUGAUCCCGGGGUCCUGCUGCAGGUUGAGUGGGGGGAGAGCCUGUCUUCUCCAGCAGUCGGGACAGAACGGAGAAGCCCCUGCAGCAGGCAACCAGAAAAACCAAACAGGCCCCAGCGGGAAA